GAAACUGCAAACCACAUAACAUACAAAAGUCCCGGCGUGGAGGAUGUUUCCAUUAUUGCUCCUCCGUUCACUGCUGGGGAUUCAACUAUUGAUGCUGGUAUCCGUCGUGCUGGGAAGCCAAGCAGAGAGCAAUGGCACGGUUUCCACCAUCCCCACCCUCUCCGGUUGCCAGACGAGCUGUGGAGACUUGACCUUCAGCUAUCCUUUUGGCAUCGGGCCUCGUUGUUCCCGUGGUGGUGACUUCGAGCUUACCUGCAACGAGUCUGCUCAGCCCCCAACUCUCCUUCUACAUGAUGGCAUCACCCAGGUUGCCUACAAUAUUGUCACAGUGGAUGCAGGGUAUCUCUACAGUUCGAGCCCACAUAUUCAGAUCAAUUUUCCAAAUAGUACUAUCCCAGUGAGUUAUGGUGUUCACACAUACAACAUGUCGUGGAGUUCUCCUGGGAAUUCAUUUACAAUUUCUUAUAUCUCGAUGAAUAUCACUGGUUGCGACUUUGACAUAUAUUAUAGUGAUCGGUAUAUGAAUAGAACAUCGCCGGUCUGCACACUUAAAUGUCCUACCAGUGAUAUCACGGACAUGGCGGCUAGGCAAAACUGCAACGGCACAGGAUGUUGCACGUUCAGAUGGGAGACAAGUGUUCGAGCAUUUAAUCUCACAUUUGUCCGUCACAGAGAAAGCAGUCCAGAGGUAAAUUAUAAUCGGAGCUCUUUGUGGGAUUACAUCAACGUAACUACAGUUGAUGCUGACCUCUCCUGGAACAUCGUCGAUCAACCAAACUGUGCGAGUGCCAAGGAGAAUAAUGCAAAAUUUGCUUGUGUUGGCAAGAAUAGCCAAUGUAUCGAUCCUUAUGAUUUUGAGUAUAUUGGGUAUUAUUGCAAGUGCAAUUCAGGUUACGUGGGCAACCCAUAUUUAAAAAGUGGCUGCUCGCGAGACAGAGGUUACAAUCCUGCAGCGCAACAAAAAGCCAAUUGCAGCCGUGUUUGUGGAAACAUCACGGUUCCUUUUCCAUUUGGGAUUGAAGAAGGUUGUUUUGGUAGAGAACAGUUUUUUCUCAACUGCACAAAUGUGACAACUUCUACCCUGCAACUGGAUGAAUACUAUCUUGUGACAGAGAUCAAUAUUAACGAAGGGCUUAUCAAGUACACAAUCCCUGAUGAUGAUGAAGGAUCAGUUAGAUAUUUUUCUGACGACGGCCCUGGCAUUUUUGUUAGCUCAGGUGGGUCAGUUUCUUUGAAAUGGGUUGUUGCGAAUCUAACUUGUCAAGAGGCACAGGCAAAUAGCUCUGGAUAUGCAUGUGUUAGCGCAAAUAGCAAUUGCAUUCCAGUUAAUUCUACAAGUGACUAUGUUGGUUACCGAUGCAAUUGCUCCUACGGGUACCACGGAAAUCCAUACCUCCAUAGUGGUUGCGAAGAUGUUAAUGAGUGUAUACAACCAAACAGAUGUCAAGGAACGUGCCACAAUACUUUAGGAAGCUUCUACUGUACCCCAUGCCCUGAGAAGACAGUAUAUGAUCCAACCAAAUUACAGUGCUCGUCAAUGAAACAACAAAAUGCUCUCUUAGGUGUUAUUAUCGGUAUGUGCAGCGGUUUUACAGUUCUGCUUCUUAGUGUUGGUGGAAUAUACCUCACUCGUCAAUGGAAAAGAAACAUCCAAAAACGACUGCGUAGGAUGUAUUUCCGUAGAAACCAGGGCCUACUCCUAGAACAACUAAUAUUAUCUGAUGAAAAUGCUAGUGAAAAGACAAAGAUUUUCUCUCUGGAGGAGCUUGAAAAGACAACAAAUAAUUUUGAUUCCACACGUAUCCUAGGCCGGGGUGGACAUGGUACGGUUUACAAAGGCAUCUUAUCGGACCAACGUGUGGUUGCAAUAAAGCGGUCUAAAAUUAUUGAGGAAGGUGAGAUUAAUCAGUUCAUAAAUGAGGUUGCAAUUCUUUCUCAAAUAAACCAUAGGAAUAUUGUUAAGUUAUUUGGAUGUUGUCUCGAGACCGAGGUCCCACUACUGGUGUAUGAUUUUAUCCCUAAUGGCUCACUUUAUGACUUCCUCCAUGGUGGUUCAAGUAACGAAUUAGUUUUGUCAUGGGAUGGCUCCCUCCGGAUUGCGGCCGAAGCUGCUGGGGCUCUUUCCUAUCUCCAUUCUGCAGCUUCAGUAUCAGUUUUCCAUCGUGAUGUGAAGUCAUCCAACAUUCUCCUUGACUCCAACUAUACCGCUAAAGUGUCAGAUUUUGGUGCUUCAAGAUUGGUUCCAAUAGAUCAAACACAUGUAGUUACCAAUGUCCAAGGAACGUUUGGGUACUUAGAUCCAGAGUAUUACCAUACUGGGCAAUUAAAUGAAAAGAGUGAUGUUUAUAGUUUUGGUGUGGUACUCUUGGAAUUGCUUGUAAGAAAGGAGCCUAUUCUUACAAGUGAGUCGGGCACAAAGCAAAACUUGUCUAACUACUUUAUGUGGGAGAUGAAGAAUAGGCCUAUUACGGAAAUAGUAGCUCCUCAAGUUCUUGAGGAAGCGUCUGAAGAAGAAAUAAAUUGUGUUGCAUCUCUUGUGGAGAUGUGCGUGAGACUCCAAAGUGACCAAAGACCUACUAUGAAGCAAGUGGAGAUGGCACUACAAUUUCUGAGGACAAAACGAGCAGAGUCCAAUCAACCUGCUGCUGGAAAAGAUGAAGAGAGGCAACCCUUGCUUAUGAAAGGUGAUAUAAACAGCUAUCAGUUAUCAGGCAUUGAUUUUGGGAAAAAAUCUGAACUUUCCUCAUCUCAAGGUAGCAAAAAGUUCUACAGUCUGGAGCAAGAGUUCCUCUCGACUGCUGGUUUGCCACGUUAGACGUGCCUCAAGUCCAACGAUAUGUUGUUCUUCGUGAUAAUCCAUCUAAGCAUCACGUCAUGAGGUGUCUCCUGAAAAUCGGCCUUCUCUGCUCGCAUCGGCGGAACCCGUCGCCCCCUUCCUCACAGCCGCAGCUGUCGCUGACUCCCUCCUUGCAGUUGCGGCUGCAGAGGAGAGCCCGCCCCAUGUUGUGAUGAGCGUUAGCUAGGCGAUGGAGAUCGUGGCCCGGACGCCGAGGGGCGGAGGCAAUGCGUAGACCCGCAUACAACCUCACUACCACGCAGGAUACCUGUCGGAUCUCUGGUGCUGGACGCUACCGUCGUCUCCUUCAUCUCGGCCGUGGCACGCCGCAUAGCUGCUGCUGGCCUCCCUGCUUGCAAUUGAUUUCUGCUCCCCCUCCUCUGUUCUCCAUUUCCCCUUGGUCUAUCUAGUACUCUCUGUUCACCCUCCCUGUUACCACUUCAUUAUCAGCAUAGUUUUGCUGUCACAACAGCUAAGCAUGUGCUCUUAUUAUUGUCUGUUUUCUUUUCCAGUGAACUAUUUAUCUUAUUGUAUAUACAAAGAAAAAACUGCAUGUAUGUGCUUAUCGAGAUGUCCUCGACCACAACAACGCACAA